UAUGGGGCGCAGCCUGAUGGAGCACACCGCGUGAGUGAAGAAGGGUUUCGGCUCGUAAAGCUCUGUUGUUAAAGAAGAACACGUAUGAGAGUAACUGUUCAUACGUUGACGGUAUUUAACCAGAAAGUCACGGCUAACUACGUGCCAGCAGCCGCGGUAAUACGUAGGUGGCAAGCGUUAUCCGGAUUUAUUGGGCGUAAAGAGAGUGCAGGCGGUUUUCUAAGUCUGAUGUGAAAGCCUUCGGCUUAACCGGAGAAGUGCAUCGGAAACUGGAUAACUUGAGUGCAGAAGAGGGUAGUGGAACUCCAUGUGUAGCGGUGGAAUGCGUAGAUAUAUGGAAGAACACCAGUGGCGAAGGCGGCUACCUGGUCUGCAACUGACGCUGAGACUCGAAAGCAUGGGUAGCGAACAGGAUUAGAUACCCUGGGUAGC
rnacentral:rRNA from 2 species